rnacentral:rRNA from 1 species
GUACAAUAAGCUACAUAAGAGCGUAUGGGGAAUGCCUAGGCUCUCAGAGGCGAUGAAGGACGUGAUAAGCUGCGAAAAGCUACGGGGAUUGGCACAUACAAAUUGAUCCGUAGAUAUCCGAAUGGGGCAACCCGCUAUAUUGAAGAUAUAGUAUCCGAAAGGAGGCGAACCCGGGGAACUGAAACAUCUAAGUACCCGGAGGAGAAGAAAACAAAAGUGAUUCCGUAAGUAGUGGCGAGCGAACGCGGAUUAGCCCAAACCGGUAUUGUUAAGGCAAUACCGGGGUUGUAGGACCACAGUAUUGAUUGCGUAAUGAAUUAGAACGCUUUGGAAAGAGCGACCAAAGAGGGUGAUAGUCCCGUAUAAGUAAAGAGCGUUAAUUAUAGUGGUAUCCUGAGUAGUGCGGGACACGAGUAAUCCUGUGUGAAUCAGUCGGGACCAUCCGAUAAGGCUAAAUACUCCUGAGAGACCGAUAGUGAACUAGUACCGUGAGGGAAAGGUGAAAAGAACCCUGAAUAAGGGAGUGAAAUAGAUCCUGAAACCAUACGCUUACAAGCGGUCGGAGCCCAUUAGGGUGACGGCGUGCCUUUUGCAUAAUGAGCCUACGAGUUACCGUUGCUAGCAAGGUUAAGUGAUUAAGUCACGGAUCCGUAGCGAAAGCGAGUCUGAAUAGGGCGCUUUAGUUAGUAGUGGUAGACGCGAAACCGUGUGAUCUACCCAUGGGCAGGUUGAAGCUGUAGUAACAUACAGUGGAGGACCGAACCGGUUGACGUUGAAAAGUCUUCGGAUGACCUGUGGGUAGGGGUGAAAGGCCAAUCAAACUCGGAAAUAGCUCGUACUCCCCGAAAUGCAUUUAGGUGCAGCGUUGAUUUAUAGUUUUA